rnacentral:rRNA from 1 species
UAUAAUGGGUCAGCGACUUAUAUUCUGUAGCAAGGUUAACCGAAUAGGGGAGCCGCAGGGAAACCGAGUCUUAACUGGGCGUCUUAGUUGCAGGGUAUAGACCCGAAACCCGGUGAUCUAGCCAUGGGCAGGUUGAAGGUUGGGUAACACUAACUGGAGGACCGAACCGACUAAUGUUGAAAAAUUAGCGGAUGACUUGUGGCUGGGGGUGAAAGGCCAAUCAAACCGGGAGAUAGCUGGUUCUCCCCGAAAGCUAUUUAGGUAGCGCCUCGUGAAUUCAUCUCCGGGGGUAGAGCACUGUUUCGGCUAGGGGGUCAUCCCGACUUACCAACCCGAUGCAAACUGCGAAUACCGGAGAAUGUUAUCACGGGAGACACACGGCGGGUGCUAACGUUCGUCGUGAAGAGGGAAACAACCCAGACCGCCGGCUAAGGUCCCAAAGUCAUAAUUAAGUGGGAAACGAAGUGGGAAGGCUCAGACAGCCAGGAUGUUGGCUUAGAAGCAGCCAUCAUUUAAAGAAAGCGUAAUAGCUCACUGGUCGAGUCGGCCUGCGCGGAAGAUGUAACGGGGCUAAAUUAUGCACCGAAGCCGCGGCAGCGAUAUGUAAAUAUUGUUGGGUAGGGGAGCG